rnacentral:snRNA from 1 species
GGCUGGAAGAGCACCGCACG